GUGCGGCCAUCAAGAGUUGCAACAGCUGUGGCAGUGGUGCUCGGGGGCGGUUGCGGCCUGCUGGGGAGGUUGCCGAAGGUCCGGGAGAGGUCGCCGGAGGUCUGGGAGAGGUGUCGGAGAGGGGCCCGUGGGUGGAGAGUGCACCCGACACAAACUAGGCCGAGAUGGAGGGAGGUGGUGGCAAUGUGAGAGGAAGAGAGAGUGUGGGAUGGUUUUUUGGCGGCUGAGGAUGCGCGCCGGCGGCUAGGAGCUGUGCGAUGCAGGCAGAGAAGGAAAGAGAGGCGGUUAGGGGCUCAGCUGAGGGUGGCAAUGGUUAGGGUUAGGGUUUGGAU
rnacentral:lncRNA from 1 species